AGAGUUUGAUCCUGGCUCAGGACGAACGCUGGCGGCGUGCUUAACACAUGCAAGUCGAACGAAGCUUGAUUACGGAUUCUUCGGAUGAAGUAUGAUAUGACUGAGUGGCGGACGGGUGAGUAACGCGUGAGUAACCUGCCCUUCAGAGGGGGAUAGCGUUUGGAAACGAACGGUAAUACCGCAUAAUGUAUUUUGACCGCAUGAUCGAAAUACCAAAGAUUUAUCGCUGAAGGAUGGACUCGCGUCUGAUUAGGUAGUUGGUGGGGUAACGGCCUACCAAGCCGACGAUCAGUAGCCGGACUGAGAGGUUGAUCGGCCACAUUGGGACUGAGACACGGCCCAGACUCCUACGGGAGGCAGCAGUGGGGAAUAUUGCACAAUGGGCGCAAGCCUGAUGCAGCAACGCCGCGUGAAGGAAGACGGUUUUCGGAUUGUAAACUUCUGUUCUUAGUGAAGAAUAAUGACGGUAGCUAAGGAGCAAGCCACGGCUAACUACGUGCCAGCAGCCGCGGUAAUACGUAGGUGGCAAGCGUUGUCCGGAAUUACUGGGUGUAAAGGGAGCGCAGGCGGGUGAUCAAGUCAGCUGUGAAAACUACGGGCUUAACCCGUAGACUGCAGUUGAAACUGUUCAUCUUGAGUGAAGUAGAGGUUGGCGGAAUUCCGAGUGUAGCGGUGAAAUGCGUAGAUAUUCGGAGGAACACCGGUGGCGAAGGCGGCCAACUGGGCUUUAACUGACGCUGAGGCCCGAAAGUGUGGGGAGCAAACAGGAUUAGAUACCCUGGUAGUCCACACUGUAAACGAUGAUUGCUAGGUGUGGGGGGUCUGACCCCUUCCGUGCCGGAGCUAACGCAAUAAGCAAUCCACCUGGGGAGUACGACCGCAAGGUUGAAACUCAAAGGAAUUGACGGGGACCCGCACAAGCAGUGGAUUAUGUGGUUUAAUUCGAUGAUACGCGAGGAACCUUACCCGGGCUUGAAUUGCAGAGGAAGGAUUUGGAGACAAUGACGCCCUUCGGGGUCUCUGUGAAGGUGCUGCAUGGUUGUCGUCAGCUCGUGCCGUGAGGUGUCGGCUUAAGUGCCAUAACGAGCGCAACCCCUCUCCUUAGUUGCCAUCAGGUUAAGCUGGGCACUCUGGGGACACUGCCACCGUAAGGUGUGAGGAAGGUGGGGAUGACGUCAAAUCAGCACGGCCCUUACGUCCGGGGCUACACACGUGUUACAAUGGCAGGUACAGAGAGACGGUCCCUUGCAAAACGGAUCAAAUCCUUAAAGCCUGUCUCAGUUCGGACUGGGGUCUGCAACCCGACCCCACGAAGCUGGAUUCGCUAGUAAUCGCGCAUCAGCCAUGGCGCGGUGAAUACGUUCCCGGGCCUUGUACACACCGCCCGUCAAGCCAUGAAAGCCGGGGGCGCCUAAAGUCCGUGACCGUAAGGAGCGGCCUAGGGCGAAACUGGUAAUUGGGGCUAAGUCGUAACAAGGUA
rnacentral:rRNA from 1 species